rnacentral:rRNA from 1 species
AUUGAACGCUGGCGGCAUGCCUUACACAUGCAAGUCGAACGGCAGCACGGACUUCGGUCUGGUGGCGAGUGGCGAACGGGUGAGUAAUAUAUCGGAACAUACCUUGUAGUGGGGGAUAACUAUCCGAAAGGAUAGCUAAUACCGCAUACGCUCUAAGGAGGAAAGUGGGGGAUCGCAAGACCUCAUGCUAUAAGAGUGGCCGAUAUCUGAUUAGCUAGUUGGUGAGGUAAAGGCUCACCAAGGCAACGAUCAGUAGCUGGUCUGAGAGGGCGACCAGCCACACUGGAACUGAGACACGGUCCAGACUCCUACGGGAGGCAGCAGUGGGGAAUUUUGGACAAUGGGGGCAACCCUGAUCCAGCAAUGCCGCGUGAGUGAAGAAGGCCUUCGGGUUGUAAAGCUCUUUUGUCAGGGAAGAAACGGUUGUGGCUAAUAUCCAUGGCUAAUGACGGUACCUGAAGAAUAAGCACCGGCUAACUACGUGCCAGCCGCCGCAGUAAGAC